rnacentral:rRNA from 1 species
AUGGCAUCUGGCUCGCGGAGCCCGCCUUCUGUCUCAGUGCCUUUCCAGGGCGAGCGCCCGGUCGUCUCAGGGUUAGGGCUAUCUGGUUCGCUGGGCUCUGCCCGCUCGUCGUCGGUCGCGGGAGCUGGUGUGGAGGUCGUGUCACCGGCGGCGGAUGGCCCCUGGAGGAGGAAAGGGCCGUCCCACAAGGCGAUGUGGCGCCGCCGCAAGGCGCUGCGCCGCCAGAUGGAGAUUGCCCGUCCGGGAUCAUCUUCUUCCUCGGAGCGUCAUUUGAUUCCGCCAGAUCUGUAUGGACUUUGCUUCCGCUGCUUCGGAGAGGGUCGUCGCCGCCAAGACUACACCAAGGAGCCUCUUUGCAUUCGUUGCGAGUUGUCGGGGCACGUCUCAUCCCAGUGCGCGCGGCCGCGCAGCCCAAUCUCGGCGGAGGAGCUGCGCAGGGCGGUCAUCGCCAAGGCAGCCAGGGAGCGACCUGCACCUCGUUCGGACCAUGGCUGGGAACGGCGGCUGUUGGAGCACAGGCAGAGCGCGCUAGGGGCGCCGCUCUCGCCGGUUGCGCCCAGCCCCUUUCCUUCGUCAUCCUCCCUUCCGGUGGUAGCGUCCCUGUGGGAGGUGUGCAUCGUGCAGAGGUCGGAAGGCAUGGAAGAUUUGGAGUGGCGUCUCCAGCUUGCGGUGGUCAUGUACAUCGGCGGGGCCAGGCCGCCGGUGUCCUGCGCUGAAGCAUCGGUGAUGCUCGCGGCGCAUCUGGAAGUUCCUCGGCAUCAGUUCUCGGUCCAUAAGUUUCACCCGGAGGACUUUCUGGUCGUCUUCGCGUCGCAAGAGCUCAGGAACAAAGCGCUGGAGCGCCCGCUGGUCUUGCAGUUUGGCGUGCAGCUCCAUAUCAAGCCAUGCCUGCGGCAAGCUCUGGCGACGGCGAGAUGCAUGCGGAUCCAAGCUGACGUUUUGAUCGAAGGUGUGCCUUCUCAUGCGUGGUCUCGGGAAACGGCAGCGGACCUGCUCGGCAGCUCCUGCCUGAUUGACAGCCUCGCCCCGGAGACAGAGAGUCGUGAGGAUCUGUCCCUCUUCAAGCUGAGAGUUUGGUGUGUUGAUCCAGAUGAUGUGCCGGUCAGCCGCAAGCUGUGGGUGCCGGAGCCGGUGAGUUUGGAUCCAGCGGCGAGGCGCCCAUCCUUUCGACAACUGCUCGAAUACCCAACGCUGAUCCAUAUCGGGAGACUGAGGGAUUUCUCUCCGCCGGAGCUGUGGCGUCGGAGUUCAAGAUCAGACAGUGACAGUGGACAGAGUGGUUUGCCUGAUAGCUCGCCGGGAUCGUUCGCCGGAGGAGAAUGGUCGGUGCAGCCCUCGACGCGUGGAGUUCGCGAUCGCCGCGGGAUGGAUCGGUACGGCGCCGGCCCGGCGGCGUACGGUGCUGGGCGGUCGUACAGGCAGGCGUUGGAGGGACGCGUGGGCCCGUCUGACUGGAGGAUCCCACCGAUGACGACUACGGGUCAGGGGGCUCCACCGCCCCGGGUGGCCAAUACGAUGGUGGCCUGCGAGACGGGGCAGACAACCAUUGAGCCGCAAAGGAGGUUCGUGGUGCAGGCUGAGCUAGUGGAUCAGGCCAUCCAGAAGACGCCAGCUGGAGAGUCGAUACAGGUCAAAAGUGUUAGUUUGGGUGCUCCGGAUGGGGGGCAGGCUGACAAAAGUACCGAGUUGGGCUUAUCGGAUGAGGUGCAGGCUGACAAAAGUGUCGAGGGGCAGGAAGGAUUAGCUGAUGCGACAAGGGCAUCAGAUCCGGUGGCCGGGCCGGUGAUUGGCUCGGUGCCCGCAGUCACAGAGGAGGGCGUGUUGGCGCACGUGGUCCAGGAGAGACCGAUGCAGACAGCCGGUCCCUCGACGGCCUGCGUGGCCUCGGAUGCUGCUGUCUCGUGGAAAAAUUGA